AACGGUCUAUACCUGCGGUACCUGCGGAGGGAUCAUUACAGAGUUCGUGCCCUCUGGGUAGAUCUCCCACCCACUGUUUUCCUUACGACCGUUGCUUUGGCGGGCCGCCGGCCCUGCCCGGCCGCCGGCGCCCAGCUGGCGCGCGCCCGCCAGAGGCCCUCCAGACUCUGAAUGUUAGCGUCGUCUGAGUACCACAUAAUAAGUUAAAACUUUCAGCAACGGAUCUCUAGAUCGGAAGAG
rnacentral:misc_RNA from 1 species